rnacentral:rRNA from 1 species
AUUGAACGCUGGCGGCAUGCCUUACACAUGCAAGUCGAACGGCAUCGCGGGAAAGCUUGCUUUCCUGGCGGCGCGUGGCGAACGGGUGAGUAACACACCUGAACGUACCGUCUUUCGGGGGAUAACCCGUCGAAAGACUGGCUAAUACCGCAUACGCUCUUUGGGGGAAAGCAGGGGACCUUUUGGCCUUGCGCUCGUCUAGCGGCCGAUGUCCGAUUAGCUAGUUGGUGGGGUAAAGGCCUACCAAGGCGACGAUCGGUAGCGGGUCUGAGAGGAUGAUCAGCCACACUGGAACUGAGACACGGCCCAGACUCCUACGGGAGGCAGCAGUGGGGAAUCUUGGACAAUGGGGGCAAGCCUGAUCCAGCAAUGCCGCGUGGGUGAAGAAGGCCUUCGGGUUGUAAAGCCCUUUUGGCAGGGAAGAAAAGGGGGGGGCGAAUAACCCGGCGGGAUGACGGUACCUGAAGAAGAAGCACCGGCUAACUACGUG